CAGUAGCCGCGGUAAUACGUAGGGUGCGAGCGUUAAUCGGAAUUACUGGGCGUAAAGCGUGCGCAGGCGGUUGUGUAAGACAGGUGUGAAAUCCCCGGGCUUAACCUGGGAACUGCGCUUGUGACUGCACAGCUAGAGUAUGGCAGAGGGGGGUGGAAUUCCACGUGUAGCAGUGAAAUGCGUAGAGAUGUGGAGGAACACCGAUGGCGAAGGCAGCCCCCUGGGCCAAUACUGACGCUCAUGCACGAAAGCGUGGGGAGCAAACAGGAUUAGAUACCCCCGUAGUCCCUGUCUCUUAUAA
rnacentral:rRNA from 1 species